rnacentral:lncRNA from 1 species
ACAAAUCAAAUCUUACAAGAAUGUGUCGGUAUUCUAAUUGUCCGAUGUUACAGUUUCCUUUGACACCAAGUUGAUUCGGCAGAAUCUGUCUCAACUCUUGAAGUUACGGAUUAAAUCCCAUUGUCCAUGGGAAUGUCAUAAAGAAGAACUCCCUUCCUUUAGCCCGUAGACAUCCAUUUGUUCUUGACACUACCUGAGCAUAAUUUUCUAACAAAUCAAAUCUUACAAGAAUGUGUCGGUAUUCUAACUGUCCGAUGUUACAGUUUCCUUUGACACCAAGUUGAUUCGACAGAAUCUGUCUCAUCUCUUGAAGUUGUGGCCUUCCAUAU